CAGCACUAACCAGCGUGGGCAUACUCUGCUAGGACUUCUGCCUAAGGGAGAGAAGGGGUCUCUUACCUUGGUCACGCCCUUGCCUUGAGCACACGGGCGCCAAGCUUCAGAAGGGAGACAAACCCCACACGGCUAUAAUUAGGGGCUUUCUUAAGUCCCUGUCACGCAUGAUCAAGUGUGCCAGGAUUCGGGAUCAUACUUCCUCCCAGGACUUCCAAGCUCUUGCGUGUGAUCUUCUCUAAGUCUGGGGGCUGAGGAAAAGCCAGCCCUCCCCUCCCACCAGCACCCACCCAGUGCAUCUCCACCCAUAGCUCUCUCUCCCAGCCAGGUCUGGACCAGAGAUGCCUCAAGACAGGCGACAUUGGUGACAUCAACGGGACCCCAGAGGGUCUUCAUCUCACUCUCAGAAGCAGGCAGCAUUCUGAAAAUCACCCUCACGGGCCUGCCUCUGCUCCACAGGACACCCGAUGGCCCGAGGAGCUCAGAUUCACCUCUCCCACCAGGGUUCUCUGUUCCUUUAAAAUCCCACCUUUCCUGUCCUUCUGAUUCAGAGGAAGGAGUUCUCAGGACUGUGUCUCCUCCUCCACGGCCCUGGGAUCUUUGCCUAUAGAGCUCCUUCUCCUCCAUCUGUGAGCAAACCUCCUCCCAUAGGCAGAAACCACAUCCACACACACAAACCCACACAACACACCAACAUAAACCCACACACAACACACUGACAUCACACACACUGACACACAAUCCCACACAAAACACACCAUCAGACACAGACAUCACACACACACACAUAAACCCACACACAACACACUGAUAUCACACACACCAACAUCACACACAAACAUAGACCCACACACAACACACCAACAUCACAAACACAGACACCACACACACACAUAAAUCCUUACACAACACGCUGACAUCACACACACAGACACUAUAUACACACACAAACCCACACAACACACCGACAUCACACACACAGACACUAUGUACACAAACAUCACCCACAGACACCAGAUGCACACACCACACACACUCAAACUUCUCUCUUACACACACUCUUCCAUCACACCCUCACAGAGUCAUGACACAUGAGCAUACUACACACAUAUCACACAAAUAUUCACAGACACACAGACAACCCCCCCCACACACACAAUGCACACACCACACAACUGUCUCCCCGGGCCCACACCCUGUCCAUAUACAGACCAUGGAGAGCAAGAAGGGCUGAAGCUGGUCUUGCCCCUGCCUCCUGGAGGAGGAGGGUGCACCUGAAAACAGACCCAGCAAGAGAUGGGAGCCCCGGGAGCAGCCCAACUCCAGGUCCUCUGCAGAAGUGUCCUAGCCGCCACCAGGCUGCCCUGCAUGGCUCAGCAGUUUCCAGUGCCAGGCUGCAGGGAGGUGUGUGGGGCUGGA
rnacentral:lncRNA from 1 species